rnacentral:tRNA from 1 species
GGGCGGUUAGCUCAGUGGUAGAGCGCCUCGUUGACAUCGAGGAGGUCACAAGUUCGAUACUCGUACCGCCCACCA